rnacentral:rRNA from 1 species
ACGCCUUGCGACUUGCAGAAUCCAGUGAAUCAUCAAAACUUUGAACGCAUCUUGCGCUUCCGGGAUAUUCCUGGGAGCAUGCUUGUCGGAGUGUCUGUUG